AGAGUUUGAUCAUGGCUCAGAACGAACGCUGGCGGCAGGCCUCAAACAUGCAAGUCUAGGGGGUGUAGCAAUACAUCACCGGCGGACGGGUGCGUAACGCGUGGGAAUGUACCUAUUGGUUCGGAACAACUGAGGGAAACUUCAGCUAAUACCGGAUGAGCCCGCAAGGGGAAAGAUUUCUCGCCAAUAGAUCAGCCCGCGUCCGAUUAGCUAGUUGGUGGGGUUAUGGCCUACCAAGGCGACGAUCGGUAGCUGUUCUGAGAGGAAGAUCAGCCACACUGGGACUGAGACACGGCCCAGACUCCUACGGGAGGCAGCAGUUGGGAAUCUUGGACAAUGGGGGAAACCCUGAUCCAGCCAUGCCGCGUGAGUGAUGAAGGCCUUCGGGUUGUAAAACUCUUUCGACGGGGACGAUAAUGACGGUACCCGUAGAAGAAGCUCCGGCUAACUUCGUGCCAGCAGCCGCGGUAAUACGAAGGGGGCUAGCGUUGUUCGGAAUUACUGGGCGUAAAGCGCGCGCAGGCGGUCUUCCAAGUCAGUGGUGAAAGCCCGGAGCUCAACUCCGGAACUGCCAUUGAAACUGUAAGACUUGAGGAUGAGAGAGGUGAGUGGAAUUCCCAGUGUAGAGGUGAAAUUCGUAGAUAUUGGGAAGAACACCGGUGGCGAAGGCGGCUCACUGGCUCAUAUCUGACGCUCAGGCGCGACAGCGUGGGGAUCAAACAGGAUUAGAUACCCCAGUAGUCC
rnacentral:rRNA from 1 species